GGGGCCACCAGGUGGCGCGUUGGAAGAUGGCCGACAAUAACAUCUCUCUGACCCAUACGAGGUACUAAGGGGCUACUAUGGGAAGUAUGUAGCCUUCCUGAACUCCUCCAGGAUGUGGAGGAGAACUGCCCUGCCAGCGGUGUUCACAAUGCACCCCCUGAAACGAGUGAUGGGGGUGCCGAACACUUGGCAAAAGGCCCUCGGUGAAGUCAGACCUUCCUGACGCCGAUUCCAAUUAGCGCGUGCUGGUUGCUUCAGCUGGAAUUAUAAUUGGAAACAUACGAUUGGAAACGAAGCUGAAAGCACAUACAUCAAGUAAAGCUCGAAGAUAAGACUGCUGAUUAAUGGAUCUCUGCGACCAGGAGUGACGGAUGGAUAAGUAAAUCUUUUGAUGAAUCACCAUAAGGAGACUGUAUGUUUGGAACGAAGGGGGAGUGGAGGAAAAAAACUCUUUUUUUCUUUGCAUGAUGUGACAUUAAUAACCCUUCACCCCAGAUAGAAACAAGAUCGUCGCGUUUCUAUGAAUCACAGGCAGGAUUUUAAGAACUAUGUGGGACGGAAAGAAGACUGCAGAACGGUGAGAAAGGAAGAAAUUUUUUAUGACGCAGUUAAAAAAUGGCGUCUCGCCAUGAUAGGUUUACCGAGGAAGAAGGACUGGGGGAGGAGAAUCAGGAUUGUUUGAAAGAGAAGGAAUGUUGGAAUGUAAGUCUGACCUGACAGAACCCCCAGACUCAUUUGUUAUUUGGUAAGCCUGGGAAAAAUAAAGGACAGAUCGGAGAUUAACUUUGUUUAUGGAAGCGUUGUACAGAGGCUGUCCCGGAUCGAUAUGAUUUUUGGAAAAGUACAAAAUCCACAUAGAAUGCCAGCUGUUAUCCUGCUUGUGAAAAUCAUCAGAGAUUGCAAAGAAAGGAAUUUAUGAUAACAACAAGAAGAGAAAAGAAGUAACAAAGGACUUUCCGGAUCAAACUGGAGAGAACUGUCUAAUUAAUGCAGUAAGAUAAGUGAUGCUGUUUUGGACUCGAGCUGAGCUUGAUGUAUGGGUACCCCCAACAAAAUUUAAAAUUUGGCUGUAUAAUUUGGAAUCAAUGUGAUAAUGUGAUGUGAUUGGCCUGUUAAUAAAAAUUAUU